UUUCAUCAUUCACACAAUUCAAUCAAAUUUCAUGGGUUUAACAACAACAUUUUCAUAAUUCACACAAUUCAUUCAAAUUUCAUGGGUUUAACAAUAACAUUUUCAUCAUUCCCACAAUUCAAUCAAAUUUCAUGGGUUUAACAAUAAGAUUUUCAUCAUUCACAAAAUUUUUAUCAAAUUUCGUGGGUUUAAAAAUAAAAUCUUCAUCAUUCACACAAUUCAAACAAAUUUCAUGGGUUUAACAACAAAUUUUCAUCAUUCCCACAAAUCAAUCAAAUUCCAUGGGUUUAAUAGCAGCGUUUUCAUCAUUCACUCAAUUCAAUCAAAUUUUAUGGUUUUAAGAGCAACAUUUUC
rnacentral:lncRNA from 1 species